CCUACGGGAGGCAGCAGUGGGGAAUAUUGGGCAGUGGGCGAAAGCCUGAUCCAGCAAUGGCGCGGGAUGAGAGGGUCAUCCCGCUGUAAAGCACUUUAAGUUCGAGGAAGACAGUUACCUAAUACACGCGGCAUGACGGACCACACAUAUGGCCCUUUUU
rnacentral:rRNA from 1 species